CGCGGCCUAUCAGCUUGUUGGUGGGGUAAUGGCCUACCAAGGCGACGACGGGUAGCCGGCCUGAGAGGGUGACCGGCCACACUGGGACUGAGACACGGCCCAGACUCCUACGGGAGGCAGCAGUGGGGAAUAUUGCACAAUGGGCGCAAGCCUGAUGCAGCGACGCCGCGUGGGGGAUGACGGCCUUCGGGUUGUAAACCUCUUUCACCAUCGGCGAAGCCGGGAGCUUUUGUUUCUGGUGACGGUAGGUGGAGAAGAAGCACCGGCCAACUACGUGCCAGCAGCCGCGGUAAUACGUAGGGUGCGAGCGUUGUCCGGAAUUACUGGGCGUAAAGAGCUCGUAGGUGGUUUGUCGCGUUGUCCGUGAAAUUCCCUGGCUUAACUGGGGGCGUGCGGGCGAUACGGGCAGACUGGAGUACUGCAGGGGAGACUGGAAUUCCUGGUGUAGCGGUGGAAUGCGCAGAUAUCAGGAGGAACACCGGUGGCGAAGGCGGGUCUCUGGGCAGUAACUGACGCUGAGGAGCGAAAGCGUGGGGAGCGAACAGGAUUAGAUACCCUGGUAGUCCACGCCGUAAACGGUGGGUACUAGGUGUGGGUUUCCUUCCUUGGGAUCCGUGCCGUAGCUAACGCAUUAAGUACCCCGCC
rnacentral:rRNA from 1 species